rnacentral:lncRNA from 1 species
AAAUUACCACAAACUGGGUUACUUAAAAAGACAAAGUUUAUUUUCUCACAGAUUUGAAGGUCAGAAGUCUGAAAUCAAAGUGGGAGCCAUCCUCCCUCCCCAAGGCCCUAGCUCCUAGUGACUCCUGGCAAUCCUUGGUGUUUCUUGGUUUAUUCUGCAUCACUCCAAUCUCUGCUUCCAUCUAACCAUGGCAUUCUUUCCUGUAUCUCUGUUUCCUCUGUGCCUGGGUAUCUCUGUGCCCAAAUCUCCCUGUCCUUUCUUUGAUAAGGGUUCCUAUCAUUGGGUUUCAUGCCCACCCUAAAACCAGGAUGAUUUUAUCUAAAAAUUUUUAAUAAAUUACUACACCUGCACAGAUCCAAUUUCCAAAUAAAGUAACAUACUGGGAGGACAAUAUUCAACCCGCUACUAUGAUCAUGAUGAUGUCACAAUCUUGCAUUAUUUCAUGCCUUAAAAGUUGUCAGACAGAUCAGUUGUAGAGGGGAAGACCUACUGGGGUGAUUGGCCAAAAAUGUGGAGACCUCAGGAUAUGGCACAGGAAGUGAUCUUGGUCCUUGCAUGACAUGGCAGACGGACCUGCAGCAGCCUCAUAGCCUUGCAUGGCUUACAGCAUCCCCUGGCUCUGAUAUGCAUGGGAACAGAAUCAGCAAGUUCUACCCUAAUAUCAAAACUGAAUCACCAGCUACUAGACUAGACCACAGAACAGGUGCUUUUCUGUGUGAUUUGCAGGAAAUUCUCCCACCAGAGACCCGUAUUAUGCCUGGCAUACAGGAGGCAUUCAGAAAAUUUGAUGACUAGAAGUGUGUGUCCAUCUCAAUGACACAGGUCUCUAAAACCCUUGCUGCCAGUGUUUGGACCAAGAGGCUGGCAGCUAUGAUGGGAGCUCUGGUAGAAGGUCAGCCCAUGGCUAGCAGCACUAUUCAUACCCUGUCCUGUGCCGGAAAAACAAACGUGGGAUCCAGUAUAAGCUGUGUGUGCAAGAGCCUCCACAGCUUCAUCCAAAUUAGACUCCUAACAUGCAUCUAUAAAGCCAGAAGAUCAGAGAGGAGAACAACAUGGUUUCUUAAGUGCUCCAUUUUCCAAGAAAAUACAAGGCUAUCUCUCC